AUCAUGGCUCAGGACGAACGCUGGCGGCGUGCUUCAUACAUGCAAGUCGAACGCGAAUCGGUAGCUUGCUACCGAGGAAAGUGGCGGACGGGUGAGUAAUAUGUAGAGAAUCUGCCCUAGAGAGGGGGACAACAGCUGGAAACGGUUGCUAAUACCCCAUAUGAGCGUACCUGAAAUGGUAUUCUUGAAAACUCCGGUGCUCUAGGAUGAGUCUGCAUCUGAUUAGCUAGUUGGGGG
rnacentral:rRNA from 1 species